rnacentral:rRNA from 1 species
GACGAACGCUGGCGGCGUGCUUAACACAUGCAAGUCGAACGGAAAGGCCCUGCUUUGGUGGGGUGCGCGAGUGGCGAACGGGGGAGUAACACGUGAGUAACCUGCCCUUGACUUUGGGAGAACUUCAGGAAACUGGGGCUAAUACCGGAUAGGAGCUCCUGCUGCAGGGUGGGGGUUGGAAAGUUUAGGCGGUUGGGGAUGGACUCGCGGCUUAUCAGCUUGUUGGUUGGGUAGUGGCUUACCAAGGCUUUGACGGGUAGCCGGCCUGAGAGGGUGACCGGCCAAAUUGGGACUGAGCUACGGCCCAGACUCCUACGGGAGGCAGCAGUGGGGAAUAUUGUACAAUGGGCGGAAGCCUGAUGCAGCAAAGCCGCGUGCGGGAUGACGGCCAUCGGGUUGUAAACCGCUUCCGCCUGUGACGAAGCGUGAGUGACGGUACUGGGUAAAGAAGCACCGGCUAACUACGUG